ACCCACCCACAUCCCCAUUCUCUCCCAUAAAUCAUCCUUUUCAUUAAACUCUAGCGGUCUAAAGAUGCCUCUAACAGAGUGACCAGACUCUUGGUUAAGUCUGACCGUUUUUUGUAAAUUAUUUAAAAUCAAAAAUCCCGAAAAUCCUGAGUGGCAGGAGCUGUGGUAUUGGAGGCUUCCCCGCAAGUAGGCCUUGAGUCGAAUUCCCGUGGCCCAAAAAUUUAACGCCUCAACCGGAGUCCGAAAACAAAUCAGUUCAGCUCUGGGCCUCGUAGGGCUCGGGUCUAAAUAAUAUAUAAUAUAAAAAGUUUAAUAAUAGUUAAAAUUGUGAAAAAUAUAAAAUAAUUAAAAAAGUGAAAAAUAUAAAAUAUUGAAAAAAGUGAAACAUAUAAAACAAUUUAAAAAGUAAAAAAUGUUAAAUAAUCUAUAAAGUGAAGAAAAAAUAUAAAAUAGUCUAAAAAUUAAAAAAAAAUAUAUAAAAUAGUCUAUAAAGUAAAAAAAAAAAAUUUAUAAAAUAGUCAAAAAACUAAAAAGGUCUAUUCAGCGGAACUCGGGUGCUUUUUCUUUUUUUUUUUCUGGCCUUAAAUUAUUGGCUAACAAACACUGGCUGGUUUUCAUCCUGAUUUCCUUGAUUAACUUAGUUAUUUUUUUAUAUAUUGCCACAUUCAUUAAAAUGAAACAAUCGCUCUACAAUUCUGUCUUUCAAUUAUUUUAAAAAUAUUGAGUACUUUUUCCUUUUUCAACUUUACUUUUCCAUGUAAGGGGCUCUUAGAUCCGCCCUCUUGCCGUGGAAAGAUGACGCUUCUUUUCUUAUUUUUUUUCUCAACAUUUUUUCAACUUUCAAUCUUCAACUCAGUUGGAUAUCCUGGUCCUCUAACUGUUGAAACAAUAUAACUUCCACUGGAUGUUUUUGAGUUCCACAUCCUGAUUUCCUUCUAUAUUUUCAUUUAAAUUUAACCAAUUUUUCAAAGUGAAGUCAUAAGCUAUAGACUCUACUGAAUUCUUGAAUAUUUUCCUGGCUUUUGGACCCUUGGAGCCCACGGAGUGACUGAUUUUCUUCUAUUUCUUAAAAAGACCUCCUUUUAAAUGACAUUUUGAAGACCACUCGCUAUGCAUGGCGGCUCUGUUGUGAUGUGACUUUUUCCUUUUCCUUCUGCGCUCCUUUCUUUGGGUACUCUUUUGAAUACUUUACCUUAUAUUUAUUUUUUCCUGACUUGUCAUCUCACUAUCCUCUGUCUUUUAGUUGCUCUUUUGAUUUUUAUUUUUAUUUUUAUUUUUAUUUUGAAACGAGUCAGAGUUUCUUGUUCGUCAUCGCCAUCUGAGCCUCCUUCGAGAUUCUUCUCCUUGUUACUCUUUAUAAUUAUUUACAUUUUUAAACUGCUGCUACAAUUUUUUGCCAUCGCCUUCCAAUUCUCUGUUGGGCUUCUCCUCCUUUUUUUAUUUUUAAUUUGUUCAUUUUUCCCCGAUAACCCCCUACAAGGCUUGGACUCUAUAGCUCCAGCACCACCUUUAAGGAUCCACCGACUAGCUUUCUUAUCUGUUACUUUUUUUAUUCUUACCUUUGAACCGAGUUCUGAUACCCUUUUCUCCAAAUUUUUGUGGCCCUUUUGAGCUCCUUCUCCUUGCCGCUUUGCUUGAUUAGGAUGGGCUCUCUGAAACUCGACUUCAAUCUUAUUUAUUUAUUUUAUUUAACUUUAUACUUUCGCUUUUCCGGCUUCGAAUCCGUAUCCACCUCCCACUGAGGUGGAUCUUUUGGACGCUUUGCAACUAGAUCUGAGUGGGCUCUUUGGUAUCGUUUUUAAAUAAUUUUGCUUCCUGACUUGUCAUAAUUGUCAUCCUUUUCCGUGUGCUUUCCGUUUACUGGCAAGUACUUAGUAUUUAAUUUUCUUAAAAAAAACUAACUAUUAUCUCCUAUCUAUUAUUAGGUUAUUCAUUAUAAUUAUUGUUUUUAAAUUUAUUUUUCAACAGAGUCCUGGGUGCUUUUGUUUGCCGAAUAUAACUGAGCCCUAAUUGAGUUUCUUUAUGGAUUUUAAAGCUCCAGCACCUUAAUUUGGGACUAAAGCCACCUGAUUUGCUUGUUUUUAUUUUUAUCUUCCCUCCGAGUUCUGAUUUCUUUAUUCCCUAUCUUUCGUGGCGCUUUUGAGCUCUUUCUCCUUGCGCUCUAACGUCGGAAUUCUUCCCUGGCCAUCUCCUGACCAAAGGUGGACCUUAUUAUUUUUAAUUCUGAGGCACUCUAACGACGAAAUUCUUCCCUGACCAUCUUCUGACUAAAUGUGGACUUUAUUAUUUGUUUAUUUUACUCAAAACUGCGGCACUGAUUCUUGUUUUUAAACUUUGUGGCUCUUCUAUCCCAAUAAUUA